CACACAGAAAUAUGUGGCACACGUGGCAAGGGUGAUAAUGAUGCACCGACAUGCUGAUGAUGGGGGUGAACGGACCCCGCAUGCCAUGAAGCACACGGGCAACGUCAUCUACAACGUCACCUACACGGUGACGGAGAUGGGCAACUCCAUCCUCAUCGUCAAGUGGGGCGAUGAUUGCAUCCCCGGCAGCCUCUUCCGCAUCACCGUGUCGGGCAGCUACGGCUAGGGUUCACCAUGACAACAAUGAUACGGUGAUGAUGAUAGUGUGACUACGGUAUGGCGAUGAUGGUACUGUAACAAAGAUACGGCAAUGAUUAUACCAUGGCAAUGAUACAGCGAUGGUGAUAGCAUGAUGACAAUACGCGAUGAUGAUACUGUGACAAUAUGGCGAUAAGGUAAUUACGUUGAUGAUACCGUGACGACGAUAUGGCGAUGAUACUGUGAAAACAAUACAGAGCUGAUCAUAGCGCCAUGACAAUAUGGUGAUGAUGUUACCGUGAUGACGAUCCAGCUAUGAUGUACCGUGAUGACGAGAUGGCGAUGACACCAUGACAAUUAUAUGGCAAUGAUACCAUGACAAUGGAAUGGUAAUGAUGAUGAAACCGUGACGACGAUACCGUGAUGAUGAAAACCGUAACAAUACAGCAAUGAUGAUAUCAUGAUGACGAUACGGCGAUGAUGAUACCAUGACAAAGAUACGGCAAUGAUGAUACCAUGAUAACGAUAAGCAGUGAAACCGUGACAACAAUACGGCGAUGAUACCGUGACAACGAUACGGCGAUGAUGAUACCGUAACAGUGAUACGGCAAUGAUAUCAUGAUAACGAUACAGCAGUGAUACCGUGACAACAAUUUCGGCGAUGAUGAUACCAUGAUAACGAUACAGCAGUGAUACCGUGACAAUGAUACGGCGAUGAUGAGAGUGAUGUUUUAUAUAUGCCUUUUCCAAUAAUUUAUAUUAAGAGUGAUAUUGCCUAUUUUUAAUGUAAUAGAUUUCCUUAUAUAUAGAUUCAACGAGUUCCAAACAAAAACAAUAAUGCAGUGACAGAUACCUGUGAACUCCUCUCUUGAGGCAACAAAAGGCCAAAAUGAAACCCCCCUCUCACGCUAGAAUGAUUACACUUAGGGGCAUUUGAGAGCAUCUGUGUCCACAGGCCAUGAGAUUGUUCAGGCCUUGAUGUGACAUAGGAAAUUACUUCAAUAAAUUAGAACAGACAGACACACACACACGUACACCGGCCAAAUGGUCACUCAAAAGGACAGUUGUUCCAUCGUUAGAGGAAACCGACCAAUCACAGGCCGAGGAGCAAAAUCAAAGGAGUUCCGGUCCCUUGUGAGAAGACGAGCCGAGGCAAAACAUUUCGACUACAACAAAAAAGCCAAGCCAUACAAAUCAGUCUUGCAAUGGCAAGCUCCGGGGUAUGGUCCUCGAAAUCAACCAUGGGUGUCGAGUCUUGCAGAGGAGAGGGGCGAUGUGUUGCUAAGUGUUGAGUUCGGCGCUGACAGAGUAUCUCUGAAAGUUUUAUUCUACAUUCAUUCUCAUGUUAUGAGUCGAUUGCAGAGUCAAGGACUGCGAGAAGUUGUAUUGUCCUAAGCUAUAAGAGUUGUGAGAAGCUAAGAGGUGUGCAAAUACAUUUGAUGAGUUUUGGAGAGUGAGUGAGGAGCAGUGACAAGCAGCUCAAAGCAGAAGCCCUCCUGGAGAAAGAGGGGGGGCACACGGGUGGUUGCGCAAGCCAGCUGUUAUUCACAGGACCAGCAGAGCAGCGGCUAACCACUAACCACGAGUGUGCUGACUCGGACCCCAGAAACACAGCAGAGAUAGUAUGUGGACAACUCAAACCAUACUGCCAAUAGUGGAGCCAGGAUUUUCAGGUAGGGGGAAACAAUCCAGCACUGAAAAAUGAUAGGCGUUGUUAGUAACGACUUGUCCCUUACUUUUUAUUCGACGUGUGUGCGGCGAUGGCGCAGCCAUCGAUCGAGGGUCGAAUUAGAACCUGUGUGAUCAGCAUCACACUCGCUGAAGGUGAAUGCCUUCAGGGAAGUCGUGUACUGUAUACGCAACUGCGCACAAUUCUGAGUCAAUUAUAACUUCUUUGCCGUUAUUGCCAAUUAUGGACUCAAACUAUUGCCCUAUCAUCUCAGAGCCCCUGCACGCAAUAAUAUGCUACACAAUGAAAUUGGGGGUGGCAAAAUGUCGAUUUAUUACUAAUAAACCCCAAUGAUCCGAUCGAAAAUAGGGAUUUCGAUUGGAUCAUUGGGGGGCACGGGCCACCACACCCCCAUCCCCCCCCCACUGGCUCCGCCAGUGCAUAGUGCCCACUAUAAUUAUUAGACCUCAUGGUGACUGCCCUCCAACACACAUACAAUGCGCAUUUCGGUACGAAAAAGAUUGUUCCAAGAGCUUUUUUUGCUUCGAAAAGGGUUACCAUUCCAAGGCGGUGAGUUAAUUAGCUGGUCAUGAAAAGCAUUGUCCUGUCCCUUGAGUUGCAUGAACACGGUCAUUUAGAAGUAUUUGUCAUUCGUUUUAUUUUCAUCACUUAAUUUUACAAAUUAAUUUAUUGAUGACACACUAAACAUUUAUAAGCAUCUACGUCAUGAAUCUACACACUCGCAUGAAUAUUCUUUUUUGAGAUAUUUCUUUUAAUUUCAAAAUCAUUGUAAUGAAUUCAUUGAUGUCCACUAACCAUUUGAUAAGCAUCUAUUAGCCAAACCUACACACGCGCAUGUACACUAUUGUUUCGGGAUAUUAAUUUGAAUUGCAUAAUCUUACCAAUUGGGCACAUGUUUCUUGAGCAUGGUUCCGUAUGAAUAUUGUCAUUUUUAAGGACUUUUCUAUCGUUGUGUAUUGUCGCGCUACUACGAGGAGUUAGCCUGUUGUUUUGUUGCUCAGUUUGACAACCUAACCAUUGGGGUUUCAUUUACGGAUACAUGAGUAGUGGUAAUUCCGAUCAUUAGUGUGUUCGCAUAUUAGAGAGUUUUUUUUUUAUAUAUUCAAGUUGCUUAACACAAAAGAGUCUGAGUGGUUCCUUCCUAAGUUCAUGCAUCAUUAUCUUAAUUAUAAGGACUAUAUCCUGCGGCGAGAUCUGAAUCCUGAGACCGGACAUAAUUACACUAAAAUCAUAACCAGUAAAUGUUUAAGCGAGAAUCAUAAUCAGGAAAAGUGCAAGCGAGAAUAAUUGUAUUAUCACGAUUGGCAAUACACCCCUCGACAACAAAGCUAAGCAUCACACACACCGUCACACAUACACGAUACGCCACUAGAUGACGAAUCCGAGCAUCACAUCACACACACACAUCAAUCAUUAAUAACCAUAGACACAGAAUACACCCCUAGAUCACGAAGCCAAGCCAAUAAUAAUACACAUAACCACACGCACACAUAUUGAUCCUUAUACAAACUAACACACACAUUAAUAAUACUCC